GCGGUCUCGGCAUUCCUGCUGAACCGCUCUUCCGAUCUAGCGAAAUUCCUUGUCGGGUAAGUUCCGACCCUCACGAAUGGCGUAACGAUGGCCACACUGUCUCCUCCCGAGACUCAGCGAAGUUGAAGUGUUUGUGAUGAUGCAAUCUCCCCGCGGCUAGACGGAAAGACCCCAUGAACCUUUACUGUAGCUUUGCAUUGGACUUUGAACCGGUUUGUGUAGGAUAGGUGGGAGGCUGUGAAGCGGGAACGCUAGUUUCCGUGGAGCCGUCCUUGAAAUACCACCCUGAUCUGUUUGAGGUUCUAACCUUGGUCCGUAAUCCGGAUCGGGGACAGUGCAUGGUAGGCAGUUUGACUGGGGCGGUCUCCUCCCAAAGGGUAACGGAGGAGUACGAAGGUACGCUAGGUACGGUCGGAAAUCGUGCUGAUAGUGCAAUGGCAUAAGCGUGCUUGACUGCGAGACUGACAAGUCGAGCAGGUGCGAAAGCAGGUCAUAGUGAUCCGGUGGUUCUGUAUGGAAGGGCCAUCGCUCAACGGAUAAAAGGUACUCUGGGGAUAACAGGCUGAUACCGCCCAAGAGUUCAUAUCGACGGCGGUGUUUGGCACCUCGAUGUCGGCUCAUCUCAUCCUGGGGCUGUAGCCGGUCCCAAGGGUAUGGCUGUUCGCCAUUUAAAGAGGUACGUGAGCUGGGUUUAAAACGUCGUGAGACAGUUUGGUCCCUAUCUGCCGUGGGCGCUGGAUAUUUGAAGGGACCUGCUCCUAGUACGAGAGGACCGGAGUGGACGAACCUCUGGUGUACCGGUUGUCACGCCAGUGGCAUCGCCGGGUAGCUAUGUUCGGAAGAGAUAACCGCUGAAAGCAUCUAAGCGGGAAACUCGCCUUGAGAUGAGAUAUCCCCGGGGCUUCGAGCCCCUUGAAGGGUCGUUCAAGACCAGGACGUUGAUAGGUCAGGUGUGGAAGCGCAGUAAUGCGUUAAGCUAACUGAUACUAAUUGCCCGU
rnacentral:rRNA from 1 species